GAAAUAGAAUGAAAGGAAAAACGAUUUAUGUUCUUUCUUUACUAUACUAAAUUUAAAUUAUUCCAAGGAUAAAAACAUCCCUAUACUAAAGAAAGACGACAAGACCCUAAAAACUUAAAUUUAAAAUUUUACUGGGGCAGUAAAUAAUAAAACUUUAUUUUCCCAAUAAAUAAUAAAGCUAGCCUGCUCAGAAUCAUAUUAAGUUACUUUAGGGAUAACAGCGUAAUUUAUAUUCAUAGAUCCCAUAAAAAUAUAAGAUUGCGACCUCGAUGUUGAAUUAAUAUAACUAUAAUGAGCAUAAACAUUCAUAAGUAAGUCUGUUCGACUUUUUAAUUAUUACAU
rnacentral:rRNA from 1 species